rnacentral:tRNA from 1 species
GGACUGUAGUUCAAUUGGUUAGAGCACUGCCCUGUCACGGCAGAAGUUGCGGGUUCGAGCCCCGUCAGUCC